GGGACACGUGGUAUCCUGUCUGAAUAUGGGGGGACCAUCCUCCAAGGCUAAAUACUCCUGACUGACCGAUAGUGAACCAGUACCGUGAGGGAAAGGCGAAAAGAACCCCGGCGAGGGGAGUGAAAAAGAACCUGAAACCGUGUACGUACAAGCAGUGGGAGCCUCUUUAUGGGGUGACUGCGUACCUUUUGUAUAAUGGGUCAGCGACUUAUAUUCUGUAGCAAGGUUAACCGAAUAGGGGAGCCGAAGGGAAACCGAGUCUUAACUGGGCGUUAAGUUGCAGGGUAUAGACCCGAAACCCGGUGAUCUAGCCAUGGGCAGGUUGAAGGUUGGGUAACACUAACUGGAGGACCGAACCGACUAAUGUUGAAAAAUUAGCGGAUGACUUGUGGCUGGGGGUGAAAGGCCAAUCAAACCGGGAGAUAGCUGGUUCUCCCCGAAAGCUAUUUAGGUAGCGCCUCGUGAAUUCAUCUCCGGGGGUAGAGCACUGUUUCGGCAAGGGGGUCAUCCCGACUUACCAACCCGAUGCAAACUGCGAAUACCGGAGAAUGUUAUCACGGGAGACACACGGCGGGUGCUAACGUCCGUCGUGAAGAGGGAAACAACCCAGACCGCCAGCUAAGGUCCCAAAGU
rnacentral:rRNA from 1 species